AACAAAUAGUUUGGAAAUAGGUUUUAUUGUCUUUGCUUUUGUGUCUUUGAAAAUGUUUCGAAAUUUCAUCAGCGGAGUAUUCUUUGUCUCCUUUAUGUUUCUCUCAGCGUUUUUUGGCUCAAUAUUUAUGAUGGGGCCGACUUUACCGCUGCUGUUGUUUAAGCCAAAUUGGUUCCGAUACACAAGUGAUAAACUGAUGGGCACAUGGCUUGCCUUGCCAGUUG